rnacentral:rRNA from 1 species
CCUACGGGUGGCAGCAGUGAGGAAUAUUGGUCAAUGGGCGAAAGUCUGAACCAGCCAAGCCGCGUGAGGGACGACGGUUCUAUGGAUUGUAAACUUCUUUUGUCGGGGAACAAAGGCGCCCACGGGUGGGCGGCUGAGUGUAUCCGAAGAAAAAGCAUCGGCUAACUCCGUGCCAGCAGCCGCGGUAAUACGGAGGAUGCGAGCGUUAUCCGGAUUUAUUGGGUUUAAAGGGUGCGUAGGCGGACAAGCAAGUCAGCGGUAAACAUGCGGUGCUAAACGCCGUACAGCCUCUGAGACUGGUAGUCUUGAGUGGGCGAGAGGUAGGCGGAAUGCGUGGUGUAGCGGUGAAAUGCAGAGAUAUCACGCAGAACUCCGAUUGCGAAGGCAGCAUACCGGCGCACGACUGACGCUGAGGCACGAAAGCGUGGGUAUCGAACAGGAUUAGAUACCCCGGUAGUC